GUCCAUUUUAGCUCAGCGACAGAGCAUCAGACCUUUAACCUGAGGGUCAAGGGUUCAAGGUCCCUUAUUAGGCA
rnacentral:tRNA from 1 species